UACGUAGGGGGCAAGCGUUGUUCGGAAUUACUGGGCGUAAAGGGCGCGUAGGCGGCCUUCUAAGUCGAACGUGAAAUCCCCGGGCUCAACCCGGGAACUGCGUCCGAAACUGGCAGGCUCGAAUUCGGGAGAGGGAUGCGGAAUUCCAGGUGUAGCGGUGAAAUGCGUAGAUAUCAGGAGGAAUACCGAUGGCGAAGGCAGGUCUCUGGGCUGACACUGACGCUCAUGCACGAAAGCGUGGGGAGCAAACAGG
rnacentral:rRNA from 1 species